GUUACAUUAUUUUUGGGUGAAUUAAACUUUUUUUUAAGGGAAAUUAAACAUUUAUAAUAUAGUAAAAGUAAGGUUAAUCCCCAAAUUUAAUUAACAAUUACCAGUUUAAUAAAAGAAGUUGAGGUAUUAUUGCCAAAGAAAUUAUUUGUUAAAAAAAUUAUCAAAAAAAAAAAGGACCCCCCCCCCCCCCCACCCAACAAAAAAAAGGAAAACCCCAAAUAAAAAAAAUUCUACCUCUCAAUUAAUUCAAGUCUUAUUUCCUCCUUCAGCAACGACAAUCUUAGGUUUUACCAGUUUAAUUCCUAGUUAUCCCGCGAAUUUCAUCACAAAAUCAAGCGUCGAAUCGAUCGUCAUUUAGAAUUUCAUCGAACUCUUGCUUGCGAUUCAGUUUGAGAUGUGUGGUAUCCAGGUGCUCAGGAAGCAGGUGAGUUGUGGCGGCUUCACUAAGGAUCAAAUGGAGCACGAUGAAGGAUUGGGAUAGCAAGUAAUGAUGCUACAACAAGCGUGCUUGCAUAUACAAGAUCGAGAUAAUUUUUUUUUUCCUUUUUUUCCCGAGACUGAAAACUUUGGAGCUUUCUGCUAGUUGAACUGCUGCUGCUGUCACUUAUUGUUACUGCUGUUUUGCUGCUACUACUCUCUGCUACUACUGUUUGCUGCCACUGCUCGCUGCUACUGUUGUUUAUUUGCUGCUACAUACUGCUAUCUGUUAGUAUUGAUGUUUGAUCUAUAGUUGCUGCUACUGUUGUUGCCGUUCUGCUAGCUAGCUACUACCAUACUGGCGUUGACUAUUUUUUGAAAUUUGGAGGUUUUCAUAUUUCCUCGCUUUUCCAAGUUAGAGACUGAAGCUAACUUUCUUUUUUUUGUUUUGAUUAUUAUAUUGUUUGACCAAACAUAAAAAUUGUUGUUUAUGGAUUUUUUUUUUGUAAGAUUAUGAAAUUAUUUCAAUUCAAAUUAUUGUCUACCAUUUAUGUUAAUUUCUCUUUCAUGGUUACAUUGUUUUACAUAUUAAUAUUAUUUUCAACAACAACAACAACAAUAAUAAUACCUAUUAAUUAUUAAGGUGUUACAUUAGAUUGGAUAAAGUGAUACAUAAUGUCGUAUAAAGUGUUACUAUAUGAUUGAAAAAUGUUACUAAAGAUAAGUAAGUGAUACCUAAGUUAUAAAAGUAACACUUUAAAAAUAUUACUAAUAAUAUGAAAAGAGAUACAUUAGAAGGUCUAUGGUAGCACUUCGGAAAAUGUUACCAUACGUUAUUCAAAGUGUUACAUAAGACCUUAGGGAACAUAGGCGGAAGUAUCACCCAAUAAAGUGUUUCUUGUUGUCUAUAAUAACACUUUUACCACUUUAUGUAACACUUUUUGGAUGUUACUUAAGAUUACUUUUGUACUAGUGCACAAGUUAAUUAUUGUUAACAAAACAACUUAUAAAGGGCAUAUAUAAAACAAUACAUAAAACUUGUGGGCACUAUGUAGUAGUUUGGAUAUAGAAGGGCACAACAUAGAAAACGCAAUAAUUUGGGGUUAUCAUGUAGAAAAACCUAAAUUAAAAAAAAAAAAAAAAAAAAAAAAAA